UGGAUACUUUUAUAUAGGCUACUGAGAUUCCUCAAGGCUUAAAGGAGGAGAGCCUUCCCUGACUAGGCCCAAGAGAACUUACCCAGAGAAGGCAGAAGGAGAGCACCAGUGGCAGACUUACUGUCUUCCUGGUUUUGAUGAAGAAAACUGCACAUUGAAGAGGCCUGUGUGGCAAGGGACUAGGCGAAGCCUCCAGGCAACAACCAGUGAGAAAUCGAAGUCCUAGAUUGAACAACCUCAAGGAUCUGAAUUCUGCCAACAACUACAUAAACAAGCUUGGAAAGGGGACUCUUCCCCAGGGGAGCUUUCAGAGAACUUAAAGGAUUCCUCUUACCCCCCCUGCAGGAUCUUGCUGGUCCUCAAAGUGUGGGUUGAUGUGUUAGCUACGUGCUGUUUCCGCAGAAGCCUUGUGAGGUAGCAAUUUCAAAGGUCUUAUAAACAAGUGUACCUAGUGAGGAUGCAUUAACUCUCCCAUCCUAACCAACAAAAAGAAGCAGAGCAAGUAUAUUUUGAUUAUGAACUAACGCUUCACUGUCACAAUGCCAGUAGUUUCUGGGCAAAAGUCAACUAAAAGAAAUUGUUAGGAAGGAAGGUUAUUAAUGCCAAGAUCUGUGAUUUCUGCAAGCUGGUUUUGUUUUGUGACCAUUUUUAGUGUGAUUUUUAAAAUAAGCAUGAGUGUGGACGGCAUUUCACUGAACCACAGGAUUUCAAACUGUAAGGAAUCUUAGAGAUCAGUUUAAUUCCAUCACCUCAUCGUCUGAAUUGAGGAAACCAAGAUCAUCAGUGGGUGAGUGACUUAUACAAGAACAUACUUCUAGUGGAAGAUUCAAGACUCUGGCUCAUAAAGGAGGCUAUUAAAUGGGUGAAUAAAUGGCAUCAAAUGAUUUAUAAAGAAUUCAUGAGGAUCUGAGGUUGAAAGAUUGCUGAAGCAUGAAACCUCUAAGUUUAUAAUUUUUGUUACUAUUAUUUAAAAAUAUAUUUUUGGAGAAGCACAUUAGAAAGAUGUAGUAUACACGAUGUUGGAAGGAGAGGUUCUGGUUAGCAAUAGAGGAAAUCUCUCAAUACUUCACUAACAUCUAUCCUACUUAACAGAUGAUAUGAAAUCUCACAGCAUAAAAACUAAAAUUAAGAGUCAAUUUAUUGUCAUAACCAGGGACAGAAAACGCGAGACCACUAAAGCCCAGAGACUUUGCUAGCAACACAGAAGCAACCUGCAAAUACUAAAAAAAAGAUAGAAAUAGGCUUUAUUGCCUCCCUUGUGGUCUGACUUCUGGCUCAGAGACUAAGAGACUAGCUAACACACCAGAAAACUAAAAUUACAACAGCAAAAAUAAAGUUAACAGUAAGAUGGUCAAGAGGAAAAAUGAUUCUUUAGGACAAGUCACUGAGGUGGAGAAAUCUCUUGAAGGAUCAGGAGAAAGGACAACAUGAUGAAGCCAAUGAGAAAUGAUAGAAAUGUAUAUAUGUGUGCACCAAAAACACGAUUAGACCUAUAAAGCACAGGGAUUCCAACCUAUAAAGGGCAGAAACAGUCAAGGAAAGCUACAACAGACUUGAUACCAAAGAUAUGACUGAAAAGAAGUUAAUACUUGUAAAUUUAUCUAUUUUAACAGUUAAAAUUGUUUAAUUUUUAGGUGAUUUAAAAAUAAGAUAAAACAAAGAAAAUAAAGGAAAUAUGAAAUAAAUCAAAACAGAAAACAAAAAAAUGGACCAAACAUAUCAACUAUAACAAUAACUAUAAAUGGUUUAGUGAAACCCCUUUUUCAAGAGACAAUUAUUUUCAGAGUGAGUUUAGAAAACCUAAAUCCAGUUACACGCUGCUAAUAAGGGAUAUGCCUAAACCAAAGUUAAAGGUAAAUUGUAGGCAAUUAAGAGAGUGUGGUAACAGCACAUAGAUAAACAAAUAGACCAGGGAACAGAACAGAGAAUCCAGAAACACACUUAUAUAGUUGCUUGAUUCAUGACGAAGGCAACACUACAGUGCAGUGGGGAAAGCAUAGACUUUUCAACAAAUGGUGCUGGGUUAAUUGGAUAACCAUACGGGUGGAAAAAAUCUCAUCUGCUACCUCACACCAUACACAAAAAUAAUUCCAGGAAAAUGAUAAAGGCAAGUGUGAAAUACAAAACAAUAAAGUGCUAUGAAAAAAAAAAAACCUUAGGA